rnacentral:rRNA from 1 species
UACAGAGGUCCCGAGCGUUGUUCGGAUUCAUUGGGCGUAAAGGGUGCGUAGGUGGCGCUGUAAGUGGGGUGUGAAAUCCCGGGGCUUAACUCCGAAACUGCAUUCGAUACUGCGGUGCUUGAGGACUGGAGAGGAGACUGGAAUUCAUGGUGUAGCAGUGAAAUGCGUAGAGAUCAUGAGGAAGACCAGUGGCGAAGGCGGGUCUCUGGACAGUUCCUGACACUGAGACACGAAGGCCAGGGGAGCAAACGGG